GGGACCCAGGGGUUUGAGAGGACCGGCAGGCCCAGCGGGCUAUCCAGGAGAGCAGGGCUUAGACGGACCUCCGGGCCAGGCUGGGAGUCCAGGUUUGAAGGGUAAUCCUGGUGAAGGAGUAAAAGGGCAAAUGGGAGACCCGGUAAGCACCCCCUUUUGCAC